UCCAUUUGUAUAUUCUUAAAUUACUGAGAUGGGGGCAUUAUUUUUGGCUAUAAACAUACUGAAGAUCUACACCUUUGGUUUCUACUUCAAUUCUCCUCAGUUCACUUGGGUGGUGGAAAAGAGCAGGGGUUGAGUGAGCAGUUUUGAGGUGCUUCAUCUCCAGCUGGGCUUAAAACCACAAAAUAAGCUUAUAAAAUGGGGCCAUCAGUUUCAGCCAUAACAUGUAUAUAGGGUAUUAAAUUCUUGAAAAAGGCACUUAGGCUGGCGACAGAAGCAUAUCUACAACUGCAGAUGGAAAAGAUUCAAAUGCCUCAAUCCAGGAAAAAAGAUAUUUAUUCAUGGAUAUUUUUCUGCUGCUUACAUCAGUCUCUUAACUAGAACAGACUACAAAAGCAACAAGACUAAUAUAAUUCAAGAUAGGAAACUAAGUAUAAGCACUGGCAUUGCAUAUUACAUGUUGAUAAGACACAUAUCAGCCAAAACUAAUUAGAUAUACGAAUGGAAAAGCAAUUUAAACUUCAAGGGGACAAGAAAAGGAGACAACCAGCCCCUAAUGGAGCUUUCAGCCCCUUAGGAAGAUGACUAUUAUUGCCAUAAAUGCCCAUGGAUAUGAACAACACAAUUAUCUUUCUGUGAAGUUAUUUUGAAGAUUAUGUACCUCCUUCCUUACUUUUCCUCAAUCAACUUGGCAUCUGAUUUCAAGCUAACUUGCAAAUGCAGUGGUAAAACUGUAAA